rnacentral:rRNA from 1 species
UACGUAGGGUACAAGCGUUAAUCGGAAUUACUGGGCGUAAAGCGUGCGCAGGCGGUCUUGCAAGACAGAUGUGAAAUCCCCGGGCUCAACCUGGGAAUGGCAUUUGGGACUGCAAGGCUGGAGUGUGGCAGAGGAGACUGGAAUUCCUGGUGUAGCAGUGAAAUGCGUAGAUAUCAGGAGGAAUACCGAUGGCGAAGGCAGGUCUCUGGGCUGACACUGACGCUCAUGCACGAAAGCGUGGGGAGCAAACAGG